ACUCUUAGUGAAAAGAAGAUCACUCAAAGGUAAAGCGGAUUACUGCUGCCAGUACAAGUAAUAGUAUUAAUCACAGUAAAGCCUAAAGGUAACAUGAAAACGACGAUUCUUUUGGCUGUAAUGUGCUUGCUGUUCGCACACUCUUUAGCAGCCAAUAUCUACACAAUUAAAGAAGAGGAUCCUCAACGGAAAGGCCGAGAGAUGAAAGGUUCCGUCAGACAGCCGCUACCAAAUUACAAUGAAAUCAAUAAGCGAAUGUACAAUCCGAGGCUGUACUUUCAGUAGUAUCACGUGAUUCAGUGUCUUCAAAUUCUGAAGAUGUACACAAAAACAAGACGUACAAUAUGUCAAUAUUGCUAUUUAAAAAUAAAAGNAUUAGUUAGUACA
rnacentral:lncRNA from 1 species